UACGAAGGGGGCUAGCGUUGUUCGGAAUUACUGGGCGUAAAGGGCACGUAGGCGGUUAUUUAAGUCGGGGGUGAAAUCCCGGGGCUCAACCCCGGAACUGCCUUCGAUACUGGGUAUCUUGAGUUCGGUAGAGGUGAGUGGAAUUGCGAGUGUAGAGGUGAAAUUCGUAGAUAUUCGCAGGAACACCAGUGGCGAAGGCGGCUCACUGGUCCGAUACUGACGCUGAGGUGCGAAAGCGUGGGGAGCAAACAGG
rnacentral:rRNA from 1 species